rnacentral:rRNA from 1 species
AUCAUCUAAACCCGAUUUGGAAGGGGUAUUAUAGAUAAAACCACGCCUUCGGGCUCCUUGUGAUCAUAUAACUAACGGAUCGCAUGCCUUCGCCGGCGAUGUUCAUUCAAUUUCUGCCCUAUCAACUUUCGAUGGUAGGAUAGUGGCCUACCAUGGUAUCAACGGGUAACGGGGAAUUAGGGUUCUAUUCCGGAGAGGGAGCCUGAGAAACGGCUACCACAUCCAAGGAAGGCAGCAGGCGCGCAAAUUACCCAAUCCCGACACGGGGAGGUAGUGACAAUAAAUACUGAUACAGGGCUCUUUUGGGUCUUGUAAUUGGAAUGAGUACAAUUUAAAUCCCUUAACGAGGAACAAUUGGAGGGCAAGUCUGGUGCCAGCAGCCGCGGUAAUUCCAGCUCCAAUAGCGUAUAUUAAAGUUGUUGCAGUUAAAAAGCUCGUAGUUGAACCUUGGGUCUGGUUGGCCGGUCCGCCUCACCGCGUGCACUGGUCCGACCGGACCUUUCCUUCUGGGGAGCCGCAUGCCCUUCACUGGGCGUGUUGGGGAACCAGGACUUUUACUUUGAAAAAAUUAGAGUGUUCAAAGCAGGCCUUUGCUCGAAUACAUUAGCAUGGAAUAAUAGAAUAGGACGUGCGGUUCUAUUUUGUUGGUUUCUAGGACCGCCGUAAUGAUUAAUAGGGAUAGUCGGGGGCAUCAGUAUUCAAUUGUCAGAGGUGAAAUUCUUGGAUUUAUUGAAGACUAACUACUGCGAAAGCAUUUGCCAAGGAUGUUUUCAUUAAUCAGUGAACGAAAGUUAGGGGAUCGAAGACGAUCAGAUACCGUCGUAGUCUUAACCAUAAACUAUGCCGACUAGGGAUCGGGCGAUGUUAUCAUUUUGACUCGCUCGGCACCUUACGAGAAAUCAAAGUC